GAUGAGAACGUAGCGAAAUGCGAUAAGUAAUGUGAAUUGCAGAAUUCAGUGAAUCAUCGAAUCUUUGAACGCACAUUGCGCCCGCUAGUAUUCUGGCGGGCAUGCCUGUUCGAGCGUCAUUUCAACCAUCAAGCCCUGCUUGUGUUGGGGUCCUGCGGCUGCCCGCAGGCCCUGAAAACCAGUGGCGGGCUCGCUAGUCACACCGAGCGCAGUAGCACAUCUCGCUCAGGGCGUGCGGCGGGUUCUUGCCGUAAAACACCCCCUUUUUACCAAGGUUGACCUCGGAUCAGGUAGGAAUACCCGCUGAACUUAAGCAUAUCAAUAAGCGGAGGA
rnacentral:misc_RNA from 1 species